rnacentral:rRNA from 1 species
AACGUAGGGGACGAACGUUAUCCGGAGUUACUGGGCGUAAAGGGCGUGCAGGCGGCUCGAUAAGUUCGGCGUGAAAUUUCCCGGCUUAACCGGGGGAUGUCGUCGGAGACUGUCGAGCUAGAGGGUGGUAGAGGCGUGUGGAAUUCCGGGUGUAGUGGUGAAAUGCGUAGAGAUCCGGAGGAACACCAGUGGCGAAGGCGACACGCUGGGUCAUACCUGACGCUAAAGCGCGACAGCAUGGGGAGCGAACGGG